UACGUAGGGGGCGAGCGUUGUCCGGAAUCAUUGGGCGUAAAGAGCUCGUAGGCGGCCCCGUAAGUCGGAUGUGAAAGCCCGAGGCUCAACCUCGGAAAUGCAUCCGAUACUGCUGGGCUUGAGGCAGGUAGAGGAGAGUGGAAUUCCCGGUGUAGCGGUGGAAUGCGCAGAUAUCGGGAGGAACACCAGUAGCGAAGGCGGCUCUCUGGGCCUGACCUGACGCUGAGGAGCGAAAGCGUGGGGAGCGAACAGG
rnacentral:misc_RNA from 1 species